CUUAGAAUUAAACUGACAGGCAUGGUCUGAAACCUACAACAAGGGCGUGGCUGCAGAUGGUUAUCAAGCACCUCCAGGAGACCUGAUCCAGAGCCCAUGGCAGUCAAUGCUGGGUGAGCCUAGGAAAUCGCCUUCCUGUAGAACCAGCUCACAACAACCAGGGAAAGGAAAAUGCUCCAAGCUCGCCAAACUAGAAAAAUCAGUGGAGACCCCCUCAAGAGGGAAGCUUUUUAGACUCUUUAAACUUGUCCCCUUCCUUCUCUGCCAGGUGUCAGAAUA